rnacentral:rRNA from 1 species
GUAGGGUGCGAGCGUUGUCCGGAUUUAUUGGGCGUAAAGGGCUCGUAGGUGGUUGAUCGCGUCGGAAGUGUAAUCUUGGGGCUUAACCCUGAGCGUGCUUUCGAUACGGGUUGACUUGAGGAAGGUAGGGGAGAAUGGAAUUCCUGGUGGAGCGGUGGAAUGCGCAGAUAUCAGGAGGAACACCAGUGGCGAAGGCGGUUCUCUGGGCCUUUCCUGACGCUGAGGAGCGAAAGCGUGGGGAGCGAACAGGCUUAGAUACCCUGGUAGUCCACGCUGUAAACGGUGGGUACUAGGUGUGGGGUCCAUUCCACGGGUUCCGUGCCGUAGCUAACGCUUUAAGUACCCCGCCUGGGGAGUACGGCCGCAAGGCUAAAACUCAAAGGAAUUGACGGGGCCCCGCACAAGCGGCGGAGCAUGCGGAUUAAUUCGAUGCAACGCGUAGAACCUUACCUGGGUUUGACAUGGAUUGGGAGCGCUCAGAGAUGGGUGUGCCUCUUUUGGGGUCGGUUCACAGGUGGUGCAUGGCUGUCGUCAGCUCGUGUCGUGAGAUGUUGGGUUAAGUCCCGCAACGAGCGCAACCCUUGUUCACUGUUGCCAGCACGUUAUGGUGGGGACUCAGUGGAGACCGCCGGGGUCAACUCGGAGGAAGGUGGGGAUGACGUCAAGUCAUCAUGCCCCUUAUGUCCAGGGCUUCACGCAUGCUACAAUGGCUGGUACAGAGAGUGGCGAGCCUGUGAGGGUGAGCGAAUCUCGGAAAGCCGGUCUCAGUUCGGAUUGGGGUCUGCAACUCGACCUCAUGAAGUCGGAGUCGCUAGUAAUCGCAGAUCAGCAACGCUGCGGUGAAUACGUUCCCGGGGCUU